rnacentral:rRNA from 1 species
UACGUAGGGGGCGAGCGUUGUCCGGAUUUAUUGGGCGUAAAACGCUUGUAGGCGGCCACCGCGCGUCGGACGUGAAAUCUCCCGGCUCAACUGGGAGGGGUCGUGCGAUACGGCGGGGCUCGAGGCCGGUAGGGGGACGCGGAAUUCCCGGUGUAGUGGUGGAAUGCGCAGAUAUCAGGAGGAACACCUAUUGCGAAGGCAGCUCGCUGGGACGUAACUGACGCUGAGACGCGAAAGCGUGGGGAGCAAACAGG